rnacentral:rRNA from 1 species
AAUUUUAAUUAAGUAUAGAAUGUUUAUAUAAUAACAUAAUAUUAUAUUAUUAUAGUAUUGUGAUAAAAAUGAUUAGUAUACUUAUAUAGAAAGUACCUUGAGGGAAAGUCUUUAAUUUUAAAAAGUAAAAUUUAAUUUUUGUACCUUUUGCAUUAUGAUUUUUCGAAAAAAAUAGUUAAAAACUAAACUUCGAAUUUUUAUGAUCUUUAAUAAAUAAUUAUUAUUAUUAUGUGGCAAAAUAAGUGUAUUUAGUUUAUUAAAGAAGUUAUAUGCUAAUCGAAUAAAAAUAUAGCUAAUUUUUUGAUAAAAUUAUUAAAGUAAUAAUACAAUUCUUAAAUGAAAAGAUUUUGGAAUUUGUGAACUAACUGUUUAAAAUAAAAAAAAUUAGGAUUUAAAUUUUCUUUAUAAAAAAUAUACUAUAAUUUUUAUAACUAAUAAAAUUUUAUUUAUUAGUCACUUUUUUAUCAAAAUGUUUUUAUGAAUUAUUUUAAAAAAUAACAAUGAAAAAAUGAGUAUUUUGUUUUAAUAAAAAAGAAAACCAAGAAAAAAAAUUUUUUUUUAAAAAAAUUUUUAAGGAAUUCGGCAAUAAAAGUUUCAACUGUUUAUCAAAAACAUAGCUUUAAGUAUAAAUUUAAAGUUUUACCUGCCCGGUGAGUAAUUACUUUAACGGCCGCAGUAUUUUGACUGUGCAAAGGUAGCGUAAUCAUUAGCUUUUUAAUUGAAGGCAUGUAUGAAUGGUUUUAUUGAGAACUUUGCUGUCUCUAAAAUUUUAUAUAAAAAUUAAUUUUUAAGUUAAAAAGCUUAAAUUCUAAAAAAAGACGAAAAGACCCUAUUGAGCUUUAUUACAAUAAUAUUUUUAUUUAUUAAAAAUAAUAAUUUUUAUUAUUGUAAUUUGGUUGGGGCAACCAAGGAAAUUUUUAUGCUUCCUUAAAGUAAACUUAUUAGAUCUUUUUUUAAAAAAUGAUAAAGUUACCAUAGGGAUAACAGCGUAAUCUCUUUUGAGAGUUCUUAUCAAAAAAGGGGGUUGCGACCUCGAUGUUGGAUUAGGAUAUCAUAAAGGUGCAGCAGUUUUUAGAUGUUGGUCUGUUCGACCAUUAAAAUCCUACAUGAUCUGAGUUCAGACCGACGUAAGUCAGGUCAGUUUUUAUCUUUUUUAGAAAAAUUUUCUCUUUAGUACGAAAGGAUUAAGAGAAAAAAAUAUUUUUGUUUUAACAAUAUUUAUUUG